rnacentral:rRNA from 1 species
GACGAACGCUGGCGGCGUGCUUAACACAUGCAAGUCGAACGGACAGACAGAGAGCUUGCUCUCUUGAAGGUAGUGGCGAACGGGUGAGUAACGCGUAAUCAACCUGCCCUUCAGAGGGAGAUAACAACGGGAAACCGUUGCUAAUACCGCGUACGAUUCAUGAACGGCAUCGUUUAUGAAUGAAAGGUGGCCUCUAUGUAUAAGCUAUCGCUGAAGGAGGGGAUUGCGUCUGAUUAGCUAGUUGGAGGGGUAACGGCCCACCAAGGCAAUGAUCAGUAGCCGGUCUGAGAGGAUGAACGGCCACAUUGGGACUGAGACACGGCCCAAACUCCUACGGGAGGCAGCAGUGGGGAAUCUUCCGCAAUGGACGAAAGUCUGACGGAGCAACGCCGCGUGAGUGAUGAAGGUCUUCGGAUUGUAAAGCUCUGUUAAUCGGGACGAAAGAGUUCUGCGUGAAUAAUGCAGAAAAGUGACGGUACCGGAAUAGAAAGCCACGGCUAACUACGUGCCAGCCGCCGCAGUAA